CCUACGGGUGGCAGCAGUGAGGAAUAUUGGUCAAUGCGCGUAAGCCUGAACCAGCCAAGUCGCGUGAGGGUUCAAGGUUCUAUGGAUCGUAAACCUCUUUUACAAGGGAAUAAAGUGCGGGACGUGUCCCGUUUCGUAUGUACCCUGUGAAUAAGGAGCGGCCAACUCCGUGCCAGCAGCCGCGGGAAUACGGAGGAUCCGAGCGUUAUCCGGAUUUAUUGGGUUUAAAGGGUGCGUAGGCGGCCUUUUAAGGCAGCGGUGAAAGUCUGUGGCUCAACCACAGAAUUGCCGUUGAAACUGGGAGGCUUGAGUAUGUUUGAGGCAGGCGGAAGGCGUGGUGUAGCGGUGAAAUGCUUAGAUAUCACGCAGAACCCCGAUUGCGAAGGCAGCCUGCCAAGCCAUGACUGACGCUGAUGCACGAAAGCGUGGGGAUCAAACAGGAUUAGAUACCCCUGUAGUC
rnacentral:rRNA from 1 species